ACCGGUCUUCGGUAGUGGCUGCCGGGUCCCCGUCAGGGCGGGCCGGCCGCUUCGAUCGACGGCCGCA
rfam:Mycobacterium insubricum strain DSM 45130 Mycobacterium_insubricum_DSM45130_contig7, whole genome shotgun sequence.